rnacentral:tRNA from 2 species
GGGCGGUUAGCUCAGCUGGGAGAGCAUCUGCCUUACAAGCAGGGGGUCACAGGUUCGAGCCCUGUACCGCCCACCA